rnacentral:rRNA from 1 species
CCAGACUCCUACGGGAGGCAGCAGUGGGGAAUAUUGCACAAUGGGGGAAACCCUGAUGCAGCGACGCCGCGUGAAGGAUGAAGUAUUUCGGUAUGUAAACUUCUAUCAGCAGGGAAGAAAAUGACGGUACCUGACUAAGAAGCCCCGGCUAACUACGUGCCAGCAGCCGCGGUAAUACGUAGGGGGCAAGCGUUAUCCGGAUUUACUGGGUGUAAAGGGAGCGUAGACGGCAUGGCAAGUCUGAUGUGAAAACCCGGGGCUCAACCCCGGGACUGCAUUGGAAACUGCGAGGCUGGAGUGUCGGAGAGGCAGGCGGAAUUCCUAGUGUAGCGGUGAAAUGCGUAGAUAUUAGGAGGAACACCAGUGGCGAAGGCGACUUUCUGGACUGUACCUGACGCUGAGGCGCGAAAGCGUGGGUAGCGAACGGGAUUAGAUACCCCAGUAACA